GUGCUGACAUUUAGAUUAAAUAUAUAUAAUGUUUUGACGUGUAUAAUAAAAGUAAAAAUUAGAUGUGGCGGCAUGUAAAUUUAGAUUAUCAUCCUUUACGACUAACAAAAUAUCUUAUCUGAAAGGUACACCAUCAACUUGCCACUAUACGUCAUGAACUGUGUUACAACCCUACAUAAAGCCGACGAGGAAAGGCUAUAUUUUAAUGUAGUCUUGGUGUUCGAGUGGUCUAAGACGCUGAAAACGGUGUUGCUACGAUGUCACAGACGCAAGAGUUUGAAUACCGCUAAGGGAAGAACACAAAUUUGUAAACACAGAGAUCUGUAUACAUAUUAAAUGUCUGAAUAAUAACCAACGAUAAAUCUAACGGGGCGAUAGAUCAUAUAAUUAUGAUUCAGUACACUUCAAAAUAUA
rnacentral:lncRNA from 1 species